UGGUGUCAUGGUUGUAAGAAGACAGUAAACUCGAAAUAAUCAAUUUGUAAGGCCAUGAUUAACCUGGUUCUUAGGAUGCAGUUUUUAGUUUCGACUAAGAACCGUUUUGUAGUUUGAACUAUCUCUUAGAUAAAAAAUAUAAGAGUCAGUGUUAAAAAAAAUCAAAUUAAAAGUCUGGAUUAAUACUGCUCUAAAAAGAAACCCCAAUAGCGGUCUUAUUUGGAUUUGUUUUUCAGCUUAGUCCGACUGUCUUUUCCGGUAGUGGAUUUUGUUAUCUUUCGUCUUUACUCGUUAAUUAAGUGAUUCGAUCUUAGUGAAGUGCCAAUUCCUGAAUGUGUUUUGGGUUGAUCUUUUUCUUUGUUCAGUUAUCCAUAUUAAUUCUUUGAUGUCCUACGCUGAGCAAAGCUUAUUGGUUAUGAUUGGAAAUUAAAAAGAGAAUAUUUUGACUAUUCUGAUUUUAGGGUAAGUAGAAUUGUAAUUUCUAUCUAUGAAAUGUUCUGAUGAAUGUCUUGGUUAAUAAUGAGUUGGCGUUAAUCUUAACGCUGCAAUUAUCUGGUGGAGGAAAGUCCAUUUCUCAAACUAUCCGAAGACCUAGCAACGGCGACUAAUAGUGAUACCCAACAUGUCUUGAUGGAGUUUCAGUGUUGUAGUAACACGUAUUGCUACGUGUAACUCUUUUUAUGUUCUUUAUACAUGUGUUAGACUAUAAUAUCAUGCAAAAACUGUAUCACUGUCGACAAAAAAAAAACAAUCUAAAAGAAGAAACAGUAAAUUAAAUAACUUUUUAUUAUUAUAUAGUCGUCUUCCUCAUCUUCUCCACUUCCAUCACCAAUCUAUACACCACCAAAGGCGCAAACCAGCUUCUCCAGCUGAAGCCUAGCUCUGUAAAACAACUAACACCAUUGGCAACGAAAAACUCCCGAUAGAUGAGUUAUCAUCAGUUUUGAUGAUGAAUCAACAAGUGAGGCAAAAAGGCGAAGCUUUGACUUCAAUGCCUAUCUAAGGUCCUAGUUUUAUGCCAAGAAGAUUGACUGCACCGCAAUGAAAAGCCAAAGUAACUGCUUUUUAAGAGUUUUUUUAUUAUUUUUCAACAGCUCUACUUUCAUGUCACUAGCUGAAGAAUUACUGAUAGUAUACCAUAAUAAUUUUGAUAUAGGAGUACGUUCAGUUAGGUAAGUUAGUUUGAGCUUGAUUCCUCUGAAUCCAAGUAAGUUAUUCGGAUAAAAGGUACCAAACUUAUUUGAAUGUCACUUGGUACCCGAUAAACCAUGGAAGACAUACUAGUGUAGGAGGCUAAUAGAAAUAAGCUCGGUACUAUCCUAAAAGGCUAAGAAGAAUAACGUCGGUAUCUUUUAUCCGAAUAGUUUACUUGGAAUCAGUGAAUCUAUCUCAAAUUUACUGAAUUUGCUCUUACAUCAAAGUCAUACUGUUACUACCGGUGUAGAAUUCUCUGCAACUAGUGACAUGAAAGCCGAGCUGCAGGAAAAAAAUAACUAUAUUCAUAAAAAGUUAGUUUUUGCUUUUCAUUGUGGUCCUGAACUUAAGUUUCGACAUAAAAAUAUGUGGAUGGUAAACCAACAUGGGGGUUAAACAGAGCAUCAAAUUGUUGGAUGAGAAUGAUAGUCCAUUGUCUCUGGUCAAGGUUCCUUCUAUGGUGGAACCACUUAGAACCUGUGGCCACCGUGUCUUUGCUUUGGUGCCUCCAGGUUGAAGCCAGAGCUUAGCAAGUUCUCACCUGGUGACAUCAAAGAGGACACCGUGGCCAGACUUCCUCAGAGCUCCGAGUGGUGAACAAAGAAGCCAAAAGGCUCUCUGGUUAGCCUAGAGGAUCACACAGCUUUUGAUGGUACAGCACCUCGUUGAAGAAAGAUACAAAACGAUCACUAAAAGCAAACAAUUAAUUGUAAUCAGUGUACAAAUGUAUUGUUUCUCCCUUCUUGUGAGGGAGAAGAACUGAAAGUAAUUACCAUUUUAAGUAACCUCUUAAAUAGUAGAUCAUUUUAAUCUGUU